rnacentral:piRNA from 1 species
UAGAAAUGAAGAGAACAUUCUGGGCCUCUG